GCAAAAUCUAGAAGAUUAAACGUUAUAACAUUAAAAGCACAUGCAUGCAUGUAUGCCUAUGAUUGUGGCUGGCUUGGGUUGACUUUGUUCUGGGGCAUCUUAGGUAUGUUGCUGAUGAUGUUAAUGCCACCACCGCCACCGACACCGCUGCCGCUAGCUUACGAUUUCCAGCUAGCUGUUAGUUCUUGUUGCUGUUGAUGAGGAAAACACGAUAGCAAUCAAUUUUAAAGAAGAUGAAACUCCUAAGCAUAGACAAAAAAAGAAGCCACAACACCAAGAUCCAAGCUCAACAUAAUGUCAAGUACAACGAUAUGUGUAGUCAGGGAGGAGAAACCCCAAUACCAAAAAAAAAAGCCACACCAUGGUCUAAGACUUCAAUGUUUUGCAGAUAAGAGUUUGGCUAAAGAAAAUGAAAAACAAUCUUUUAAGAAUGCCCACAAAAUUUCCAGCAAGCAAACAAACACUCAAAAAUUCUACAAUUCAUUUUCAAAAAAAAAAAACUCCAAAAACUUCUUUGAGUGGGGAAAAAAAUCAAAGCUAUUCUAACGCAUUUCCUGGCUUGGAGCUAGUACUACAAUUCAUAAAGUUCAGAAUCUAGUUUAGCUGCCUCUACGCGCCUAGCCAAAAUCAAAACGAAAUUCACGUGCAUCCACAAAAGCAAAAACCAUGGAAAAUACCUCCCAAAGCAAAGCAAAGCGGCAUUUCUUCACUAAGCUUGAAGUUUAUGGUUGAUGAUCAUUUAUAAGAACAUUUUAAGCAAGACGACUGCAUAGUGACCGUCUUGCUUUCUGCCUGUGUUGUUGGAGUAAUCGUAAUGUCUAACUAACUGUCUGAGGCCUGUGAACGUUUAUUUGUUUGCCCAGGCAGAAUAAGAAAAAAUAAGAAAUCUAUUUUCCAAUGCCUACAAUCCAACAUCAAAACUAUUAAAAUAACUUAAAGUCAUCCCAUCUGGCAACUCUUUCAAUGUGCAUGUAUGAUUUUCAUUCGUCUCUUGGACUUUGGUUUGGCCCAUUGAUUAAUGAUGUGAAAUUUUUAACCUUCAUUGUUUUGUAAAUGACCUGCCAGUCAAUCAUGUUGCGUCGUUUUGUCUUGAAACACCAAUGGAGGGAGCCCCCAUGAAAAAGGAAGAAUGAAAAUGUUAACACAACGUCGUCUGCACAGAGGUCUAAGAAAUUAAAACGGCUCAAGAAUCCAUCCAUCCAUCCACACAGCCAUCCAUCGACCAUUGGACCAAUGUUGGGAGUGAAGUGCUGCUUGUUGGCGUUGUUAAUAAGAGUGUCCCAUACUGCUACCCCCAUGAAUAUAUGUGCGACAUCUCACAAUCUUUGUCGCAUCGCACAAAAAAAAAAAACACCAAAAGGGAAGAUACUCACUCACAUUGAUGGAUACGCUAAGGCUCUCCACCAACUGGAAUCGUUCUUCUCCAAUCUGGGAGACCUUUCUGUCUCUAUACCAUCGUUUCUUCAACAAGGAUUAUCUCAAUGGAUCAAAACAGA